CUCGCCUUCAGUUCCUCCCCGCCGCAUCUCCCAUCUCGUAUUUCCCAUCCUCCCUUCGCGCGUCUGGUUACUUGCAGGUUGUCAGAAUUACUAGGUUUUGAAAUUACGACUGGUACUCCAGGCUGGUAGAGCGGCAAGGUCGUGUACAGGUCUUUGUCUUUGAUGCAAAGGUGGAAGGUGCUGCUAAAAGAAAAGGAGUGUACUAGCUUGGAUGUCUUUCAAGCAAAGAUAAUGCUGACGUUGGAAGUGCUGAAGCCGACUGAUAAUCUUCCUGAUGAUAUAGGAUAGUUCAUGGGAAUGGGCUCUGAAAAUAUUUGGUCUUUUGUUGUGGGUGUUAAAAUGUCUGGAAGGGGGCUAGGUUUAGUGGAUGUCCAAGCUUUUGUUGAGCUGGUUUGGAAAACUGGAAUCCCCAGUUUUUUGUUUCCUUUUGUUUCGUUUUUCUGUAAGAACUCUGUUUCGUUUGGGCUUUUUCUAAAGCCGGGUAAUAUAUGCCUGUUGUCAA
rnacentral:sRNA from 1 species